CUGAUUGAUGGUGCUUGCACCUGAUUGACGAUGGAUCACCAGUGAGUGGCGGACGGGUGAGUAACACGUAGGUAACCUGCCCCGGAGCGGGGGAUAACAUUUGGAAACAGAUGCUAAUACCGCAUAACAACAAAAGCCACAUGGCUUUUGUUUGAAAGAUGGCUUUGGCUAUCACUCUGGGAUGGACCUGCGGUGCAUUAGCUAGUUGGUAAGGUAACGGCUUACCAAGGCGAUGAUGCAUAGCCGAGUUGAGAGACUGAUCGGCCACAAUGGAACUGAGACACGGUCCAUACUCCUACGGGAGGCAGCAGUAGGGAAUCUUCCACAAUGGGCGCAAGCCUGAUGGAGCAACACCGCGUGAGUGAAGAAGGGUUUCGGCUCGUAAAGCUCUGUUGUUGGAGAAGAACGUGCGUGAGAGUAACUGUUCACGCAGUGACGGUAUCCAACCAGAAAGUCACGGCUAACUACGUGCCAGCAGCCGCGGUAAUACGUAGGUGGCAAGCGUUAUCCGGAUUUAUUGGGCGUAAAGCGAGCGCAGGCGGUUGCUUAGGUCUGAUGUGAAAGCCUUCGGCUUAACCGAAGAAGUGCAUCGGAAACCGGGCGACUUGAGUGCAGAAGAGGACAGUGGAACUCCAUGUGUAGCGGUGGAAUGCGUAGAUAUAUGGAAGAACACCAGUGGCGAAGGCGGCUGUCUGGUCUGCAACUGACGCUGAGGCUCGAAAGCAUGGGUAGCGAACAGGAUUAGAUACCCUGGUAGUCCAUGCCGUAAACGAUGAGUGCUAGGUGUUGGAGGGUUUCCGCCCUUCAGUGCCGGAGCUAACGCAUUAAGCACUCCGCCUGGGGAGUACGACCGCAAGGUUGAAACUCAAAGGAAUUGACGGGGGCCCGCACAAGCGGUGGAGCAUGUGGUUUAAUUCGAAGCUACGCGAAGAACCUUACCAGGUCUUGACAUCUUGCGCUAACCUUAGAGAUAAGGCGUUCCCUUCGGGGACGCAAUGACAGGUGGUGCAUGGUCGUCGUCAGCUCGUGUCGUGAGAUGUUGGGUUAAGUCCCGCAACGAGCGCAACCCUUGUUACUAGUUGCCAGCAUUAAGUUGGGCACUCUAGUGAGACUGCCGGUGACAAACCGGAGGAAGGUGGGGACGACGUCAGAUCAUCAUGCCCCUUAUGACCUGGGCUACACACGUGCUACAAUGGACGGUACAACGAGUCGCAAGCUCGCGAGAGUAAGCUAAUCUCUUAAAGCCGUUCUCAGUUCGGACUGUAGGCUGCAACUCGCCUACACGAAGUCGGAAUCGCUAGUAAUCGCGGAUCAGCAUGCCGCGGUGAAUACGUUCCCGGGCCUUGUACACACCGCCCGUCACACCAUGGGAGUUUGUAACGCCCAAAGUCGG
rnacentral:rRNA from 1 species